UGAUUCAAGAGGAGAUGUCAACGUGAUCUUGGCAACAAAUAGAAUUGAGAGUCUUGACCCAGCCUUGCUUCGUCCUGGCCGAAUAGAUAGGAAGAUUGAAUUCCCUCUUCCUGAUAUCAAAACAAGGAGGCGCAUCUUCCAGAUUCACACAUCCAGGAUGACGUUGGCUGAUGAUGUCAACUUAGAAGAAUUUGUUAUGACCAAGGAUGAGUUCUCUGGGUCUGAUAUAACGGCAAUAUGUACUGAAGCUGGUUUGCUUGCUUUUAGAGAGCGCCGUAUGAAGGUGACACAUAUAGACUUCAAGAAGGCAAAGGAAAAGGUGAUGUUCAAGAAGAAAGAAGGGGUUCCGGAAGGGCUC